rnacentral:rRNA from 1 species
UACGGAGGGGGCGAGCGUUAUUCGGAAUUAUUGGGCGUAAAGGGCGCGUAGGCGGCUGUACAAGUCAAAGGUGAAAUCCCUCGGCUCAACUGAGGAACUGCCUUUGAAACUGUACGGCUUGAGGCCGGGAGGGGGUAGCGGAAUUCCCAGUGUAGCGGUGAAAUGCGUAGAUACUGGGAGGAACGCCAGUGGCGAAGGCGGCUACCUGGACCGGUUCUGACGCUGAGGCGCGAAAGCGUGGGUAGCAAACAGG